rnacentral:rRNA from 1 species
GUUGUCCGGAUUUAUUGGGCGUAAAGCGAGCGCAGGCGGUUAGAUAAGUCUGAAGUUAAAGGCUGUGGCUUAACCAUAGUACGCUUUGGAAACUGUUUAACUUGAGUGCAAGAGGGGAGAGUGGAAUUCCAUGUGUAGCGGUGAAAUGCGUAGAUAUGUGGAGGAACACCGGUGGCGAAAGCGGCUCUCUGGCUUGUAACUGACGCUGAGGCUCGAAAGCGUGGAGAGCAAACAGGAUUAGAUACCCUGGUAGUCCACGCCGUAAACGAUGAGUGCUAGGUGUUAGACCCUUUCCGGGGUUUAGUGCCGUAGCUAACGCAUUAAGCACUCCGCCUGGGGAGUACGACCGCAAGGUUGAAACUCAAAGGAAUUGACGGGGGCCCGCACAAGCGGUGGAGCAUGUGGUUUAAUUCGAAGCAACGCGAAGAACCUUACCAGAUCUUGACAUCCCUCUGACCGCUCUAGAGAUAGAGUUUUCCUUCGGGACAGAGGUGACAGGUGGUGCAUGGUUGUCGUCAGCUCGUGUCGUGAGAUGUUGGGUUAAGUCCCGCAACGAGCGCAACCCUUAUUGUUAGUUGCCAUCAUUUAGUUGGGCACUCUAACGAGACUGCCGGUAAUAAACCGGAGGAAGGUGGGGAUGACGUCAAAUCAGCAUGCCCCUUAUGACCUGGGCUACACACGUGCUACAAUGGCUGGUACAACGAGUCGCAAGCCGGUGACGGCAAGCUAAUCUCUUAAAGCCAGUCUCAGUUCGGAUUGUAGGCUGCAACUCGCCUACAUGAAGUCGGAAUCGCUAGUAAUCGCGGAUCAGCACGC